rnacentral:pre_miRNA from 1 species
ACCCAGCACACAUUGUAGAAUCCUGUGCCCUACAUGCAACAGCUACAUUGUCUGCUGGGUUA